rnacentral:rRNA from 1 species
UACGUAGGAGGCGAGCGUUGUCCGGAAUUACUGGGCGUAAAGGGCUCGUAGGUGGCCAACUAAGUCAGACGUGAAAUCCCUCGGCUUAACCGGGGAACUGCGUCUGAUACUGGAUGGCUUGAGAUUGGGAGAGGGAUGCGGAAUUCCAGGUGUAGCGGUGAAAUGCGUAGAUAUCUGGAGGAACACCGGUGGCGAAGGCGGCAUCCUGGACCAACACUGACACUGAGGAGCGAAAGCCAGGGGAGCAAACGGG